rnacentral:sRNA from 1 species
GCGGGGGCCCGGGAGCGCAGGGCGGGCCUGAAAGAGCUCCGCCCCAAGGGGCGCGGCCACCCCGGAGGCGGGCGCACGGCUGCUUCUCAUUCAUUGUCUUGACAAGAGCAUCCUCAGCGGGCGAGGCUGAGGCUAGGGGCAGAGGCUCUGGGCAUGGCAGCCUCCGAGCGGCAGCACAGGCCCCUUCCCU